GCGAGAUUCAUUCAUAUUCCGUACCGAGGGACGAGAAAAAUCAGGAUUUCCGAUUACCGCCGCGCUGCCGCUACGCCGAGUCGAGGAAUCGCUGAAAUUUUUUUUUCCACAUCUACCUACGUUUUACGAUCGGUUGGAAUUAAUUUUCAAAGGGGCAAUUAUUUCUGUAUAUUUGUAUACGUGUAUUCUAAACGGCCGGUUGCGCAAUUUAAUUUAGCAAAAAAAAAAAAAAAAAAAGGAAUAUACGUAUAUAUGACGGAGGUCCGUAUCCCGCGCUGUUUUCAUACCAUUAAACGCGUCUGUCCGCCAACCGUGUUCGCGGCAAUCGCAACGAAGUAUUAAAGCGGAGGAGGAAAGCACAAGUUGGAAGUUGGAAGUUGGAAGUUGGAAGUUGGAAGGCUAUUAAUAGGGAAUAAAUGCGGUAAGGAAACUCGUAAAUAUGUAUACGCGAACGUAUGUGUGUCAGUAGAGCCUAUUAGGCGUUUUCUUAGCCUGCGAACGUGAACUGGCGAACCGUAGAACGGUAUAAUAACGUUGGAACGGUAGAACGGUGGCGCCCGUAAUUCCGAUCUCAUAUAUACCCGGGGUACCCAACUCGCAUGUACCCACGUACGUAUACAUAAUAUGUAUACGUACAUUACGCGAAACCUGGACGUAUAUAUACAUACAUACAUACAUACAUCUGUACAUAUAUAUUUAUGUAUACGCGAAGGAAUGUACGUACGGGGUUCGACUUUUUAUUUCACAUAUGGCGCAAGCUGCCUCGGCCGCAGCAGCAGCAACGAUCGGCGGAAAGGAGCAAGUGCGCCAAGCCGUUUAUUGUUUUAUGCGCGCGAAUCGUAAAUCGCUAGUCCGCUGUGUUUGCCACGUGACGCGAAUCGCUGCUUACUUCGACGUCUCAUUCUUUCGCCCCUUAUAUAUAUACAUAUAUAUACGUCCUGCUGCGUCCUCCUCUUCCCCCCCAGCUUUUUUAUUUAUUUAUUUAAUCCUUCGCCUCCUCUUCUCUCCUCCUUUUUUUUCCUCUCUCAUUUUAUCCUCCGUUCCUCUCGUCGUCGCGUCUACACCCCUACCGAUGUCCUGUAUUUAUCUGGCGAAUCACCAUUCGGAUACCUCGAAAUCAUCGAGGAUCAAAUUCGAGGAUUUUCAUGACCAGGAUCGUCAAUUUUCGCGGGGAUUUUCGUUCGCCUGUAGAAAAUUUCAGACUCCAACGUCUUCGCAGUGUUUCGGGUAACCCAUCCCCCGGCCGUACGAGGUAACGCAAUAACAUAACAAGGCGUACGGAUUCCGGAGGUCACCGGUGUUUAUAUUGUCUCGUUAGUUGGUCUCGAGUUUCCGAAUCGGGCGGAUCGUUUCGCAGCAUAUUCCCCGUAUAGGUGUAGAGUUGUUAUAUAGUCUCCGUUGAGCUCAGUGCACGCCUAACUGCGCAGUUUUAAUAUCGUUAAAUAAUACGAGUGUAGGUACGCGACGCGCAGUGCCGCUAGUCACGAUCCCUCUAUCUCGUGUUCCGGCUUUUCUAAUAAGUGCAGAUUGAUAAUUAGCGAUCGGUAAUUAGUGAUUAGUGAUCGAUAGCGAGUGAUCUACGCCUCCGUCAUCCGCACUUAUAAUACCGGUCCACGAUGGUGUCGAUAGAUCCGAAGCGAUUGCUGUAACCGGCCAGGAAAUUACGGCGCAAUUAUCACAAAUCACUAACGAACUGGUACACAGCUGCAACCGAUCCUUGCAACCUGCUGCAAUUCUCUACGACGGACGCACAAUACCUGCGCGCAGCACGGAAUGACUUUGGCGGGGAGUUAUUCCGGAAAAGAGAUGCAGGAGAAUGAUAACGCUGGAGGACGGAGGCCGUUUGUUUCUCUCUUCUUCUUCUUCUGAGGAAGUCCAGCUUCGAGUCGACGUCGAGUCGCGGAUCUGGUCUGCUCGGACGAUUGGAAAUUCGAGCGAACGCAGGAGACAGGUCUGAAGAUUAUUUAAGGUAUAGCGAACGAUUUUUCGAAAAUCUUCGCUCGACCAGUCCUGCAAGGUAAUAUGCACGCGGCGAGUUUAGCGUUAACAAGUGCCAAGAUAGCGGUAUAAAGUGCAUCGUACGAGGACGUCGCGAUACGGGGGAAAGGAAACGGCCACAUCCCAGCUACGUCUCGCGAAAACAGCCUUGGUAUUGGUAACUCCGGUAGUGACCCGUGUGCAGCGAACGAACGACCACGCAACUCGCCCCGUACGGUCAGCUCUUUUUAGAGUGGAUAUACAUAUCUAUUUGUAAUGCGGACCAACUUUUCUGAAGUUGCACUGCACAGGUAUGUGUGUGUUCGGUGGAACAUGUAUAAAAGGUAGUACGCAAGGUACGUAUGGAUAAAUCUUUGCGGUAGGUGUACGGCAACUGUCGUAACACAUUGAUUUAUCGAUCCUGAUUGCAAUUCAUCAUUAUACUCUGGUUGAAAAGCCCCCCCCCCCCCCCUAUCAACCUUCCCCUGCACAUGCCCCCCCCCCCUUCUCUGCCCCCCUGCCCCCCUUUCGUAUUAGUAUACACCCGUUGUUUAAACCAUCGAUGUAUAAAUUUCCAUGAGGAAACUGGUUGUCCUGUUACCAGUACAACGAUCACUUUUGUCAUGUAUUUUAUAUCCUACGCUUUGCACGCCCACUUUAUUUUAUCCUAUUCAAAGAUCACGAGGAGACGUGAAAAUUUCUCAAUAGAUGACUGUACGG